rnacentral:rRNA from 1 species
AUACGGAAGGUCCGGGCGUUAUCCGGAUUUAUUGGGUUUAAAGGGAGCGCAGGCGGAGAUGCAAGCGUGACGUCAAAUUUCGGGGCUCAACCCCGUCUCGCGUCGCGAACUGCGUCCCUUGGUUGCGGGAAGGGGAGGCGGAACUCGUGGUGUAGCGGUGAAAUGCAUAGAUAUCACGAAGAACUCCGAUCGCGAAGGCAGCCUUCCGGCCCGUCAACGACGCUCAUGCUCGAAGGUGCGGGUAUCAGACAGGAUUAGAUACCCUGGUAGUCCGCACAGUAAACGAUGGACACCCGCGGUUUGGCCUAUAUGGCUGAGCCGCCAAGCGAAAGCGUUAAGUGUCCCACCUGGGGAGUACGCCGGCAACGGUGAAACUCAAAGGAAUUGACGGGG